GAAGCAAGUGACAGUGAAUCAAAGAGCUUCAUAGAGCAUUGCAGAUUUGAGGAGACAAUCAUCGAGGGGUUUGAAUUCUCAAGGACUGGAGAGUUGCCCUUGAGUCCCUCAUUGAGGGAAGUACGUGCUUCAUUGUGGAGGCAAAGAGUUUGUCACCAUCGAAGGGAAGAUCUUCAAUGGUACUCUGGACCUCUCGAGGAAAGGAGGAGGAGGAGGAGAGCCAUGAACCUCGGCGCAUGACAACUACUGUAGCAGUAGAUCUUGCUGCAGUAUUGGCUGCAUCAAGGGCCACUUGAAGAGCAGUACAUGAGAUGAUUUGUCCCUCGGAAACUAGUGCCGUAAAUUGUUGUUUCUUUUCUUCCGGAAUGUCAUCAAUAAAGUCCAUGAAUUUGU